UACGUAGGGUGCAAGCGUUACUCGGAAUUACUGGGCGUAAAGCGUGCGCAGGCGGUGAUGUAAGACAGUUGUGAAAUCCCCGGGCUCAACCUGGGAACUGCAUCUGUGACUGCAUCGCUGGAGUGCGGCAGAGGGGGAUGGAAUUCCGCGUGUAGCAGUGAAAUGCGUAGAUAUGCGGAGGAACACCGAUGGCGAAGGCAAUCCCCUGGACCUGUACUGACGCUCAUGCACGAAAGCGUGGGGAGCGAACAGG
rnacentral:rRNA from 1 species